AUACAGGGGGUGCGAGCGUUAAUCGGAAUUACUGGGCGUAAAGAGUACGUAGGCGGUUGCUUAAGUCAGAUGUGAAAGCCCCGGGCUCAACCUGGGAACUGCAUUUGAAACUGAGUGACUAGAGUUUAAGAGAGGGGAGUAGAAUUCCGGGUGUAGCGGUGAAAUGCGUAGAUAUCCGGAGGAAUACCAGUGGCGAAGGCGGCUCCCUGGAUUAAAUCUGACGCUGAGGUACGAAAGCGUGGGUAGCAAACAGGAUUAGAAACCCGAGUAGUCC
rnacentral:rRNA from 1 species